ensembl:snRNA U6 U6 spliceosomal RNA
GUGCCUCCUUUGGCAGUACAUAUGCUACAUCUGGAACCAUACAGAGAAGAUUAGCAUGGCCCCUGCGCAAGGGUGACAUGCAAAUUUGUGAAGCGUUCCAUAUUUUA